GUAAGUCUGAACCAGCCAAGUAGCGUGCAGGAUGACGGCUCAUGGGUGUGUAAACUGCUUUUGUAUGGGGAUAAAGUCAAUCACGUGUGAUUGUUUGCAGGUACCAUACGAAUAAGGACCGGCUAAUUCCGUGCCAGCAGCCGCGGUAAUACGGAAGGUCCAGGCGUUAUCCGGAUUUAUUGGGUUUAAAGGGAGCGUAGGCCGGAGAUUAAGUGUGUUGUGAAAUGUAGACGCUCAACGUCUGACUUGCAGCGCAUACUGGUUUCCUUGAGUACGCACAACGUUGGCGGAAUUCGUCGUGUAGCGGUGAAAUGCUUAGAUAUGACGAAGAACUCCGAUUGCGAAGGCAGCUGACGGGAGCGCAACUGACGCUUAAGCUCGAAGGUGCGGGUAUCAAACAGGAUUAGAUACCCUGGUAGUCCGCACAGUAAACGAUGGAUGCCCGCUGUAGGUACCUGGUAUCAGCGGCUAAGCGAAAGCAUUAAGCAUUCCACCUGGGGAGUACGCCGGCAACGGUG
rnacentral:rRNA from 1 species